AGAGGUGGCGUUCCAGCUGCA
rnacentral:siRNA from 1 species